UAGAUCUGAAAUCAACUGAGACCACCCGCUGAACUUAAGCAUAUCAAUAAGCGGAGGAAAAGAAAAUAACCAUGAUUCCCCUAGUAACGGCGAGUGAAGAGGGAAAAGCUCAAAGUUGGAACCUGGCUGUCUUAGAUAGUCCGGAUUGUAAACUAAAGAGCGUGAGUCCAGGCAAGCCGGUUGAUCAAGUCCUUUGGAAUGAGGCGCCACUGAGGGUGAGAGCCCCGUAAAUCGACUGAGCAUUUGUCUUUUGUGUCUCGCGUUCAAAGAGUCAGGUUGUUUGGGAAUGCAGCCUAAAGCUGGUGGUAAAUCCCACCUAAAGCUAAAUACAGGCGAGAGACCGAUAGCGAACAAGUACCGUGAGGGAAAGAUGAAAAGUACUUUGAAAAGAGAGUUAAACAGUAUGUGAAAUUGCCAAGAGGGAAGCAUUUGGAGUUAGACUGACUUGGAGUUAAUCAGCUUGGUCUUYGGACUGGGUGUACUUGACUUCUAUGUCUGCCAACAGCAGUUAGUCCUGAUGGAAAAAACUGAAGGGAAGGUAGUCCUUCGGGAUGUUUAUAGACCUUUGGAAAAUACAUUGGGAUUGACUGAGGAAUGCAGUAGAUGCUAUUAAGGCUUCGUCUAUUGGGUGUUAGGUAAAGGUACUUGGUAUUUUCAGCUUGCUGAUGUGCUAGGUUACUUGAGCUUAAUUGCCUAGUAGAACUGUAAUCUACU
rnacentral:rRNA from 1 species